AGUAAACUUUAGGGGUGUUCGUUAAAUCGAACUGAGAAAAACCCUUUGAACCUGAUGCGGUUAGUACCGCCGAAGGGAAAAGUUGAAAAGCACAU
rnacentral:ncRNA from 2 species